rnacentral:rRNA from 1 species
AGUGAACGCUGGCGGUAGGCCUAACACAUGCAAGUCGAACGGCAGCACAGUAAGAGCUUGCUCUUACGGGUGGCGAGUGGCGGACGGGUGAGGAAUACAUCGGAAUCUACUUUUUCGUGGGGGAUAACGUAGGGAAACUUACGCUAAUACCGCAUACGACCUACGGGUGAAAGCAGGGGAGCUUCGGACCUUGCGCGACUGAAUGAGACGAUGUCGGAUUAGCUAGUUGGCGGGGUAAAGGCCCACCAAGGCGACGAUCCGUAGCUGGUCUGAGAGGAUGAUCAGCCACACUGGAACUGAGACACGGUCCAGACUCCUACGGGAGGCAGCAGUGGGGAAUAUUGGACAAUGGGCGCAAGCCUGAUCCAGCCAUGCCGCGUGGGUGAAGAAGGCCUUCGGGUUGUAAAGCCCUUUUGUUGGGAAAGAAAAGCAGCAGGUUAAUCCCCCGCUGUUCUGACGGUACCCAAAGAAUAAGCACCGGCUAACUUCGUG